AGACAGGCGCGUGGCCCCGCGCCAGCUAGCAGCCCAAGCUGUGCAGCCCAGGCUUCUGAGGGAGGCAGAAGAAAGAAAUCCAAGCCUCGGACAAGUUAACUAAGGGCACGGCAGGAAGGAGGUGUCCUCCUCAUCGCCAUGUGCACGUGUCGUCCGUCAGUGCUCCAUGCAGUGCUCCACCACGGCAUCCGCCACUCUGCCACCAGCUCCGCGGGGAUGGACGCACAGGCCCCAGUCACGGCCCUGCCCCGAGGAGAUGCUGGUCGUCUUCCUGCUCAUUCACUCCCCUGUGCUGCACUGCUGGGGUCAGACAAGGCUCCAUCCAUGAACCCAUGACUUCAAAAGAAAGAAACCUUUGUCCUCAAAUUUGGUAACAGGCAAACGGUCUGCGUGGAAGCCCUGUCUGCAGCCUCUGCUCACUCCAGGACGUGCUGCCCUCACUGCUCCUCUGCCCUCACAGCUCAAGGCUGAGCAUUCCCGUAUCCACGCAAGAAGGCCGGGGGACUGGCUCCCCAACAGCGGCCAGGACCUUGGGGGCACCCAGGGAGACUGGGGCCCUGCACCUCAGGGCUUUGGAUCCAGGUCUGGGACGAGCCCUGGGAAUCAGCAUGGGAGCAGUGGCAGCCAUCCUGUGGCCCUGAGGGGAGCUGGCUGGAGGACAACCUGAAAUGCCGAGGGCAGCAGGAGGAAACACGGAAGGAACCUGCGUCCUGGGUGACAUCCCGGACCUGCUGCACUCGCCGGCCCUGGAGCCACCUGCCUCUGGCUUCAUGUGAGCUGUCACACUGUUAUUAUUAUUUCGGUCCUCAAGUAGGGGUUUCCUGCUCCUUGCAGCCGGAAGCAGUAAGUGGUACCCACCCCACCCCUGCAGGGCAGUCUUCUGAUGGCUCUGAACUCCCUGAGGUGGGGGCGAGGCAGGGUCUGUGCUUCACUCUGAGGGCCCAGUGGAGCAGCAGGUGUUCGAACACAUAGGGUUUACCCCAGGCAGAAACCACCCUCAUAAGGGCAUGAGACCCAGGCAGAGCGAGCUCUCUGGCCUCUUGGUAUUUUCUUUUGUGUCUGUCUUCUCAGCAGCCUAUGAGCUCCUCCAAAGCAAAAAAUUGCCAUCGUGCUAAGGGGUUCUGGACCCUGGGGCCAGGCACAGGGCCAGGGACAGAGUGGGCAGGUAACAAAGGCUUGCUGGGCACUGUGGGAGAGAAGGGAACGGAGGCGUUGAGGAGCAAGAGAAAAGGAGAAGUGGAAGGCCAGACAGGCAGAGAAGGAAAGGUUCGUGGAGAGCAGUCUCUUCAUGGGGACCCAAGGAGGCCCCACCAGAGAGGAACUGAGGCUGUGAAAUGGAAGGAUGGAGGCCUGAGGGACCCAGGCCAGUGGACAAGUGAGCCCGAGCAGACAGAACCAUCCCCAUGCCCAUCUGGUUGUCUCCUCCUCCUCCACCUCCUCCUUCUCCCCCUCCUCCUCCUCCCCCCUUCCUUCUCCUCCUCUUCUUCCUCCUCCUUCCCCUUCCUCCUCCUCCCCCUCUUCCUCCUCCUUCUCCUAUCCUCUUUUUCUUCCUCAACCUUUUCCUCCUCCUCCUCCUCCUCCUCCUUCCCCGCCUUACCCCUCCUUCCCCACACUCUGAAAUGAGCACAUGGCUCAGACUGAGAGGACAAACCUCCAGCUGAAUUUAGUUGUAGCUGUGUUUCCCCAAAAUGCUUUGAGGAUUCAUCAGAACCAGUAGCUGCCUCUCUGCUUCCUCAUCUACACACCUAAUUUUGUAGCUUCAGAACAGGUGUGACUCAGGCAGAGGAAGGGCUACACAGGUGUCACUGUGCCCACCCCUAGGGAGACUGCUACAGACAGACUUCCUGGUGGGACCCGGCCCCCACCCAUGCAUGGUGGCCACGGGCAUGAGGAGGCUGAUAAUGACAAGGGGAGCCAUGAUGACCACAGGGCUUAUAGAGAUCUCGCCAUUUGCUGAGCAAUGUGGAGGAAUGUUACACACACCAUGUCGCCUCCCCCGACGCCUGCAGGGCAGGUAUCAUUGCCCUGCAUUCUAUUGAGGAGGAAAUUGAGUUGGAAGUGCCCAAGAUCACGUCGUUAAUAAAUGGCAGGGCCUAAACAAGCCCUUAGCCGCUACAAC
rnacentral:lncRNA from 1 species